rnacentral:rRNA from 1 species
AUUGAACGCUGGCGGCAGGCCUAACACAUGCAAGUCGAGCGAGCGGCGGACGGGUGAGUAAUGUCUGGGAAACUGCCUGAUGGAGGGGGAUAACUUCUGGAAACGGUAGCCAAUACCGCAUACCAUCAGAUGUGCUCAGAUGGGAUUAGCUAGUGGGUGGGGUAACGGCUCACCUAGGCGACGAUCCCUAGCUGGUCUGAGAGGCUGACCGGCCACACUGGAACUGAGACACGGUCCAGACUCCUACGGGAGGCAGCAGUGGGGAAUAUUGCACAAUGGGCGCAAGCCUGAUGCAGCAAUGCCGCGUGAGUGAAGAAGGCCGUCGGGUUGUAAAGCACUUUCAUCGGGGAGGCGUUACCCGCAGAAGAAGCACCGGCUAACUCCGUGCCAGCAGCCGCGGUAAUUC